rnacentral:rRNA from 1 species
CUCCGGGGGUAGAGCACUGUUUCGGCAAGGGGGUCAUCCCGACUUACCAACCCGAUGCAAACUGCGAAUACCGGAGAAUGUUAUCACGGGAGACACACGGCGGGUGCUAACGUCCGUCGUGAAGAGGGAAACAACCCAGACCGCCAGCUAAGGUCCCAAAGUCAUGGUUAAGUGGGAAACGAUGUGGGAAGGCCCAGACAGCCAGGAUGUUGGCUUAGAAGCAGCCAUCAUUUAAAGAAAGCGUAAUAGCUCACUGGUCGAGUCGGCCUGCGCGGAAGAUGUAACGGGGCUAAACCAUGCACCGAAGCUGCGGCAGCGACGCUUAUGCGUUGUUGGGUAGGGGAGCGUUCUGUAAGCCUGUGAAGGUGUGCUGUGAGGCAUGCUGGAGGUAUCAGAAGUGCGAAUGCUGACAUAAGUAACGAUAAAGCGGGUAAAAAGCCCGCUCGCCGGAAGACCAAGGGUUCCUGUCCAACGUUAAUCGGGGCAGGGUGAGUCGACCCCUAAGGCGAGGCCGAAAGGCGUAGUCGAUGGGAAACAGGUUAAUAUUCCUGUACUUGGUGUUACUGCGAAGGGGGGACGGAGAAGGCUAUGUUGGCCGGGCGACGGUUGUC